rnacentral:sRNA from 1 species
GCUGCUAUGAAUGUUUCAGUGCCGAGA